rnacentral:rRNA from 1 species
UACGUAGGGGGCAAGCGUUGUCCGGAAUCAUUGGGCGUAAAGCGCGUGUAGGCGGCCCGAUAAGUCCGCUGUGAAAGUCCAGGGCUCAACCCCGGGAGGCGGGUGGAUACUGUCAAGCUCGAGUCCGGAAGAGGAGUGUGGAAUUCCUGGUGUAGCGGUGAAAUGCGCAGAUAUCAGGAGGAACACCAAUGGCGAAGGCAGCACUCUGGGACGUGACUGACGCUGAGACGCGAAAGCGUGGGGAGCAAACAGG